rnacentral:rRNA from 1 species
UGGGUAAUAUUGCACAAUGGGCGCAAGCCUGAUGCAGCCAUGCCGCGUGUAUGAAGAAGGCCUUCGGGUUGUAAAGUACUUUCAGCGGGGAGGAAGGGAGUAAAGUUAAUACCUUUGCUCAUUGACGUUACCCGCAGAAGAAGCACCGGCUAACUCCGUGCCAGCAGCCGCGGUAAUACGGAGGGUGCAAGCGUUAAUCGGAAUUACUGGGCGUAAAGCGCACGCAGGCGGUUUGUUAAGUCAGAUGUGAAAUCCCCGGGCUCAACCUGGGAACUGCAUCUGAUACUGGCAAGCUUGAGUCUCGUAGAGGGGGGUAGAAUUCCAGGUGUAGCGGUGAAAUGCGUAGAGAUCUGGAGGAAUACCGGUGGCGAAGGCGGCCCCCUGGACGAAGACUGACGCUCAGGUGCGAAAGCGUGGGGAGCAAACAGG